rnacentral:rRNA from 1 species
GAUGAACGCUGGCGGCGUGCCUAAUACAUGCAAGUCGAGCGAAUGGAUUAAGAGCUUGCUCUUAUGAAGUUAGCGGCGGACGGGUGAGUAACACGUGGGUAACCUGCCCAUAAGACUGGGAUAACUCCGGGAAACCGGGGCUAAUACCGGAUAACAUUUUGAACCGCAUGGUUCGAAAUUGAAAGGCGGCUUCGGCUGUCACUUAUGGAUGGACCCGCGUCGCAUUAGCUAGUUAGUGAGGUAACGGCUCACCAAGGCAACGAUGCGUAGCCGACCUGAGAGGGUGAUCGGCCAAACUGGGACUGAGACACGGCCCAGACUCCUACGGGAGGCAGCAGUAGGGAAUCUUCCGCAAUGGACGAAAGUCUGACGGAGCAACGCCGCGUGAGUGAUGAAGGCUUUCGGGUCGUAAAACUCUGUUGUUAGGGAAGAACAAGUGCUAGUUGAAUAAGCUGGCACCUUGACGGUACCUAACCAGAAAGCCACGGCUAACUACGUGCCAGCCGCCGCUGUAA